rnacentral:misc_RNA from 1 species
UAAUUUGACUUGUACUUCUAUUUAAAUACUUUUAAUUUUAAGUUGGAUUAUGUUUAUAAACCUCUAGCUAAAUCGCAAUUUAUUUGUAAUUAUUUUAAAUUAGUAAUAUUUAAUUAAUAUACCAGUGACCCAUUUACUUGGUUCUUUUAUCGGGUUAGCAUCCGAACCGGGUUUAAUAACAUUGGUAAAUGUGAUUGCAACUUGGUUUACAUGUUUAACAUUCUGGUUGCAUCUUUAUGUACAUGUAUCUUCUUGAUUCGUACUUAGUGUGGUGAUGGGAAUUGAACCAAUUAGUUAUUGUUAUAAGCUGGUGCCUGGUUGUAGGGAAAGAUGCAGCGUGGGGCUAGCGGGUGCCAUGGCCCCCAAGCUCUCUGAAAUACUUAUUGAUAUGUUGGAGAUUUAAAUAUUAUCAAGUUAAUUGAUUCUGCUUAUCUAUUGUAUUGUGAAUUGAAAUCUUUUUUGUAUCAGUAGAUGUCUCACCUAGGCUUAUAGCUAAGUGAGUCUCUGAUUGCAGAUAUUUGCACUUGCAACUAUCUGCCAGUGGUUGGAGCCAUCUUUGACGAUUUGAAAAUAGGGGGGUGUCAUAGUACACGAGGCUUUUUGCUUUUGCAAGGAGGCUAUCUAUGGUUUAAGCCCAUGAUCUUCACGUUGCAGUUGAGAUAUCUUACUACUUUACUAAGGUUGAACCUCGAUAAUAAUUAACAACUAGAUAGGAUUACAAAAAGAUGCGUGCUUUGUCUGUGUAAGUGUAUCUUGUAAAUAUUAUUUUUGUUUAGUUAUUUUGGAUGUGAUCGGAGCAUCUAAAUUAAGGUUGCUUGUGUCAAUUUAACCAAUUACGGGCAUUUCUGUCAUCUCCUUAAAUACAAAAUUUAUGUAGUUGCCACUCAUUCAGUUUCCAAGCAACAAUUGAAAUGAUUGCAUAUAUUACUGGACAUAUGUUGCUUAAAAUGAGUUUUUCUGACUGACUUUUGUUUAACUUUUGGUUGAAAUACUGUAGUUCUUCCGGAGGUUCCACGCUGCAUAUGUGGAUGCAGUUUCAAAUCCAUUCCAUGUGCCAGGCAAAAAGAUUACAUCCAAAACUUUUGCAGAAAGAGUAAGCAACAUUGUCAAGUCAUUUGGUUUGAGCUCAGCUGGCUGAAUGUUGCUAUUGUAAACUUAAACCUGUUGAAUUUCAUUAUGAAACCGGGGAAUGUUAUUUUUUCUUCUGACUCAUUUUCUUCUUCAUCUAGGACAUGAACAGAUGCUGUAUCAUUUUAAAAACCUGGGAUCUGAGUUUUACCAAAGAUAGAACAAGUGAUUUAUACUUCAUAUACGGAUAUUAUUCUUAUAUUUUGUGCAUAUAAUUCUAAUGUUUUGGCUCUAUUUCUUUUGCAGAAUCAUUCAAUUCAAUCUAUAUUUCCCGUAUAACACAUAUGCAAAUCGAAACUGCGCCCUGACAAUGAAGGGCAAUUUGAUUUUUUCAGUUAAUCUAGUUGCCCGAAGUUUCAUUGCUUUCUCAAGUAUGCAUUUCAUUCAAUGCAAUCUGUGCAAAAACAUAAUAGAUUUGAUUAUUUGCAUUGUAGGACUUUGUAUAGACCAUUAUACAGAACCUGUACUUGUAUACAUAAUCCUCUGUUUCUGGCAUGUAACUACCACUUUUUUUUAUGCCUCCCAAUGUUGCUUG